rnacentral:rRNA from 1 species
GACGAACGCUGGCGGCGUGCUUUACACAUGCAAGUCGAACGGUGAAGGUGGAGCUUGCUCCGCCGGAUCAGUGGCGAACGGGUGAGUAACACGUGGGCAACCUGCCCCUAACUUUGGGAUAACUACUCGAAAGAGUAGCUAAUACCGGAUAUGAAGUCUGUAGGCAUCUAUGGAUUUGGAAAGUUUUUCGGAUAGGGAUGGGCCCGCGGCCUAUCAGCUUGUUGGUGAGGUAGUGGCUCACCAAGGCGACGACGGGUAGCCGGCCUGAGAGGGCGACCGGCCACACUGGGACUGAGACACGGCCCAGACUACUACGUGAGGCAGCAGUGGGGAAUAUUGCGCAAGGGGCGAAAGCCUGACGCAGCAACGCCGCGUGCGGGAUGAAGGCCUUCGGGUUGUAAACCGCUUUCAGCAGGGAAGAAGCGAAAGUGACGGUACCUGCAGAAGAAGCACCGGCUAACUACGUGCCAGCCGCCGCCGUAA